CUUAGCAAUGACACAGCUCGGCCCCGGGGCCUCAUUGCUGAUAACGGGAACCGUGGCAACACAAAGCAUCCUGCAGUUUGUCGCUUAGAAUCCGUGGGUUCACAUGUGAGUGACUUCAGGACCGAUCUCUGCUUCACACAGAUGGUCCUUUCUAAUUACACGGUGAGAAAACACGAUGCGUUCAUUGGCACAAGUGUCGGGCAGGAAGCUGCUCUUUUAGUGAAAUGAGAGGACGUGUUUGUGGGUGUGAGUUCAUCUAUACAUUACGUACUGAUCAGUGGGAUUGCUCAGCGAUUCUUUGUCACUGAAACCAGAAUCUUUGGUUGUUUCCUCGUUUUUUCUGCAGAAAAACCCCCAGAGAUUCAUGGUUUGAUGUUGCAGCUGCUUUUACAGCAGCUUCGUGAGGCCCUUUGUUAUUACUUCACUUUUUCAUUUAAUGAAUAUUUUAUGUAACAUGAAACUCGGGACUCUGACGAUGAUGUCAUCACCCCAUAGGUUCAUCUUAAGGAUGUGUUGAAUUCAUCCACAAUGUGACCGCUCUUGGACACAAGCCUUUUCCCCCAAACAUGUGAUGCCUUCCAACAAGUCCAUUUUAUUGAAGAAAUCCACUUUGUCUAAACUCCACGCUCAUAAUCUAGGACUGGUCAGUCUCGACUUCGACGAGGACCCGGUCCCGUCGCCACCGUCUUCAACACAUUCAAAGGUAAAUAUUUAUACAUAUAAAACACGGGUUGAGCAACAAAAUGCAACAGAAUCGAUGGGGUCAUCCGACCGGUCUGUGAGUAAACUGCUGCGGACCUCCACCCGUGUUGUUGUUGUGUGAGGUCACAGGGGAAGAAACAAAUAUGGGGGACAAUUUAAACAUUUAUCUGGUUAUAAUAGUUUUGUUCAUUGCACAUUUAUUACCACAUUUGAGUCCAAAACCCUUUUUAACUGAUCCAAACUGCAAAAAAUGGAAGUUAAUGUGUUUGUUUUUUAUAUACAAAUGAAUGCGGGAGCUCGCAAACGCCGCCGACACUAAGCGCCGUUUCUGUCCUUCCUGCCUCACUGUGACACCAAAACACACACACACACACACACACACACACACACACACAGGACAACUUCAUGUUGCGUGUGUGUGUGUUUGAUUCAGAUGUGACUCUGCCGCCUAAACCAUGUAGGCGCUGCAGCAGAGUGUCAUAUAUUGACGCCAUGGCAACAACACAAAGCUGUGCGGUUACAUAAAGACGAGUGAAAAGACAAACUGAUCAGAAACAGCGGCGGCUUCACCUGGUGGAGACGAUCUGAUCCUAAUACCGUUUGAUAAAAAAGAUUAAAUAAUUGAUGAAUGCGUCGUCAAACUUAUUGGGUCUUCACAUUAUUUAUAAUUACCUAAAUUGAACUUGAGGUACGAGGUUUGGGGCCUGUACACGUUUUCUAUUCCCUUGUUAUUGGUUAAGGGGGUCACAUGACGUUAUUACUUAACUUUGAACUAAAUGUUCUCAUCAGAGGUCACCUUGGGGACCGCGGACAACACAACCUCAGGAGGAGAUACGAGCUUUCGCCAGAUGGAGCCGAUGGAGUGAUCACAUUUCAUCACGAGCUGCUUUAAUCAUUUCAAAAGUUAAAUGUAUGUCAAAGCUCAGAAACAGACGUUAAAGGUAACCAAUAGCAACUCAAGCAAAACAUAAGUUUGAACCUGAACCCUGUAAAAAAUUAUCCAGGAGCUCAGUUUAAAGAAUCACUUCCUGCUGCUCUGAUUUCACAUUAAGAGCUUGAAUCGCAGCUCCAACGUUUAAUGCAACUACGAUUUGAUAUCAUCCACCCAGUGUGCUGUCAAUCAAAUAAAUGCCAAAGAACGUUUCCG
ensembl:lncRNA